GAUGAACGCUGGCGGCGUGCCUAAUACAUGCAAGUCGAGCGAACAGACGAGGAGCUUGCUCCUCUGACGUUAGCGGCGGACGGGUGAGUAACACGUGGAUAACCUACCUAUAAGACUGGGAUAACUUCGGGAAACCGGAGCUAAUACCGGAUAAUAUAUUGAACCGCAUGGUUCAAUAGUGAAAGACGGUUUUGCUGUCACUUAUAGAUGGAUCCGCGCCGCAUUAGCUAGUUGGUAAGGUAACGGCUUACCAAGGCGACGAUGCGUAGCCGACCUGAGAGGGUGAUCGGCCACACUGGAACUGAGACACGGUCCAGACUCCUACGGGAGGCAGCAGUAGGGAAUCUUCCGCAAUGGGCGAAAGCUUGACGGAGCAACGCCGCGUGAGUGAUGUAGGUCUUCGGAUCGUAAAACUCUGUUAUUAGGGAAGAACAAAUGUGUAAGUAACUAUGCACGUCUUGACGGUACCUAAUCAGAAAGCCACGGCUAACUACGUG
rnacentral:rRNA from 1 species